UCUUGCAGCUCUCGCCUCCCACCUCCAUAUAAAUACUCCCCACGUCCGGCUCGACCGAUUUUUGGCAAAAUCGUAGGCUCCUGUGCCCUAGGUCGAUUUCGCGAUCUCACCGGAGUUCCACCGCUGUUGACCUCCACCGUCGUCGCUUCCGUCGCCACCGGAUUCACCGAACCGAGCGCUGCAACCUCGACCAGAAGCAGAGCACCGCCGCCGUCGCUCCGGUCGCCCAUCGACGCCACCACAGGGCGUGAUCCUCCCCGACGAGGCCCCCUUUGUCUUCACAGGAGAGUUCCGCGACCGCCCGUCCUUUCCUCCACCACCAGAGCAGGCGCCACCAUCCCCGCCCGAGCCGCCCCGUGCCGUUCUUCUCCAACUCCGACGACGCCCAGCUCUGUUCUCAGAUUGUUCGGAGUGUGAAGCGGAUCAGAAUUAAUCGUUAGAGUACUUCAACACCGUUCAAGGCAAGUUUGCACUUUUGAUUUUUCUCAUCCUAUAUUCUGCUAUGCAUGUGUGGUUUUAUGCUAUGAUAUAUGUUGGCUUGACAUGUGUAUCCCGUGUUGUCAUGUUUUGGUAUGAUUUGUGUUAUGUGAUGGUGUGAUAAACUCACUAUGGUAGACGUGGGCAUGUGUCGAGUGAUCCAUGAAAAUGGUGAGUGUUUAUAGCCGUAGGCUCGGGAUUAUUAACCAGGUGAAUGCGUCACUGGCAGAGCGCUCUAUUGUCCCUAGAGAAUGCGCCAUUGACAGAGCGCACUUGAGGCGAGGUAUAGUUUUCGGAACAUAAAUCAGGUGGAUGCGUCCUUGGCAGAGCGCUCUAUUGUUCCUAGAGAAUGCGCCAUUGACAGAGCGCACUUGAGAGAUACUUCAGAAGUUCUUGUCAUGUUUAUUUAGAAUCUUUGGGUUAUCUUGGGCGAGUAAAUUAGAGACGGUUGUGAGUUCAGGUAGUGGAGGUAGGUGAAGACAUUCUUCUCCGAACUAACUUGUGUGUUUUGUUUGUCAUACAUUGCUUUGUGGAUGUAGGUUUGCCAUAUCAUAUUGUGUGAUUUGCCAAUACAUUCAAUGUAUUGACCCUUUGUGGCUGCAACUUAUCAUGUUGCAGGAUUUUCAGAUAAUCAAUGAGAUACAGUAGGGUCGCGAGUCUUCACUCAACAUCUUCGCCAGUGGGCCUUGUUUGGACUCAUCGUUUGCUUAUGCUACAUUUCCGCUGUUAUUAUUGAGUAAAGCUAGUUAUGUACUAAGAGUUUGUAACACUUUAUAAAUUCUGGAUCAUACGUUAUAGUAAAUGAUGCAUUUGUUAUUUGAUAUUCAUAUGUACUGUGUGUGCUAGCGAAUCGAUCCAGGGACUAGCACAGUGAGCACAGAGACAUCGAAUCUUAUCAGAUUCGGGUCGUUACAGCUCUGCUCUUCUGGAACCCACGUGGUUCUGGUCGAGGCUGUCGAUGUCGGAGUACCCCUCUUAAGAGUGUAAAAGUGUGAAUAUUCACCCCUGUGAGUCCCGGGUAGGGAACCUUGCUGGUCACGUGUGAUACCAAUAUUUUCCCUAUACACCGCUAUAAAUAUUUCCAGUAUUUCAGUUGAACUCUGUUUAAUAUUAUCUUUUAAUUCAGCCUUUUGCACUACUUUAUUUUCCGCCGCUAAAUCUGUCCAUUGAUGUCGUAUCAUUUCCUUGAAACUGAAUUACACCGUUGUGAUAUCCAUAACACUUUCUCCUUUUGUACCCUUGAAUAAAUGCUACUUGCUGGGUAUGAAUCAUCAUACUCACCCUUGCUUAAUUUCUUUCUUUUGCAGCCCAAAGCAGUAAUGAUCCUUAGCAUGGCUUUGAGCAGUAGGCGUAGCACGCGCCGGGAGGGAAUAAAUUAAAGUACUUUAGGGUUUAUUUUCAGCA